rnacentral:tRNA from 1 species
AUUUAUGUAGUUUAAAAAACAUUACACUUUCACUGUAAAGACAAAGAAAUACUUUCAUAAAUA